UACGUAGGGUGCAAGCGUUGUCCGGAAUUAUUGGGCGUAAAGAGCUUGUAGGCGGUUUGUCGCGUCUGCUGUGAAAUUUCGGGGCUCAACCCCGAACUUGCAGUGGGUACGGGCAGACUAGAGUGUGGUAGGGGGAGACUGGAAUUCCUGGUGUAGCGGUGAAAUGCGCAGAUAUCAGGAGGAACACCGAUGGCGAAGGCAGGUCUCUGGGCCACUACUGACGCUGAGAAGCGAAAGCAUGGGGGAGCGAACAGGG
rnacentral:rRNA from 1 species